rnacentral:rRNA from 1 species
UACGGAGGAUGCAAGCGUUAUCCGGAAUGAUUGGGCGUAAAGCGUCCGCAGGUGGCAAUGUAAGUCUGCUGUCAAAGCGUCUGGCUCAACCAGAUAAAGGCAGUGGAAACUACAUAGCUAGAGUAAGGUAGGGGUAGAGGGAAUUCCUGGUGUAGCGGUGAAAUGCGUAGAGAUCAGGAAGAACACCGGUGGCGAAAGCGCUCUGCUGGACCUUAACUGACACUGUAGAGCGAAAGCGUGGGGAGCGAACAGG